AUUGAACGCUGGCGGCAGGCUUAACACAUGCAAGUCGAACGAGCGGCGGACGGGUGAGUAAUGUCUGUGAAACUGCCUGAUGGAGGGGGAUAACUACUGGAAACGGUAGCUAAUACCGCAUACCGUCGGGGGUGCCCAUAUGGGAUUAGCUAGUGGGUGGGGUAAUGGCUAACCUAGGCGACGAUCCCGAGCUGGUCUGAGAGGAUGACCAGCCACACUGGAACUGAGACACGGUCCAGACUCCUACGGGAGGCAGCAGUGGGGAAUAUUGCACAAUGGGCGCAAGCCUGAUGCAGCCAUGCCGCGUGUGUGAAGAAGGCCUUCGGGUUGUAAAGCACUUUCAGCGAGGAGGCGUUACCCGCAGAAGAAGCACCGGCUAACUCCGUGCCAGCAGCCGCGGUAAUUC
rnacentral:rRNA from 1 species